GACUCAUUUAGUGUGUGAGGACUGUUUUAAAAGUGUGUACGCUGAGGGGCUGAACUCAAAGCCCCCCGUGGCCGUCUUGAGAGCAAACGGAGCCAGUCGAUUUCCCCCAGAGACUCCAAUGCAGAUGGUGUGAGCAGUGAGGGGAAAAGUUUAUGACAGCUCUGCUGUUUUCGGUUCACGGCUGCCCCAUGGAGCUUUUUGAUUUUACGGUUGCAGCUAUAGACUUUUGACCGGACUGUUUGACUCAGUAAUGCACUUGUAUCGGACAGAGUCACGUUCGGGAUUGAAUCUUGGACCGCAGUGAAUCCUGUAGCGGAGUCACGCACUGGAUUUGUUUUGGGUUUUAUUGACAUUUUUUCCCACUGCGUUUUUGUGGACGUUCUUUGGAUAGCAUUUUUUAAGAAAGGUCUUUGGGUUUGGUCAUGGACGAGCAGGCUGGCAGCGCGGGCAACAGCCCUCAGCACGGCCGUGGAUCAGCCAAGCAGAUCGUUCUCCGCUGCGGUUGGCUCCGGAAGCAAGGCGGCUUCGUGAAGACCUGGCACACGCGCUGGUUCGUCCUGCGAGGAGACCAGCUGUACUACUACAAAGAUGAGGACGAGACCAAAGCUUUGAUGUGCACAUUACGCUGUUUAAAGUCUACCAGUUCAUUCACACGCAACUAUCAC